rnacentral:rRNA from 1 species
GACGAACGCUGGCGGCGUGCUUAACACAUGCAAGUCGAACGGUGAAGCACCUUCCUUUUGGUGGGUGUGGAUGAGUGGCGCACGGGUGAGUAACACGUGAGUAACCUGCCCCCUUCUUCUGGAUAACCGCAUGAAAGUGUGGCUAAUACGGGAUAUUCUUUGCCUGCUGCAUGGUGGGUGUGGGAAAGAUUCGCUUUUGGGUGUUUUUGGUGGGGGAUGGGCUCGCGGCCUAUCGUCUUGUUGGUGGGGUGCUGGCCUACCAAGGCGGUGACGGGUAGCCGGGCUGAGAGGGUGGAAGGUCAGACUGGGACUGAGACACGGCCCAGACUGCUACGGGAGGGAGCAGUGGGGAAUAUUGCACAAUGGGCGCAAGCCUGAUGCAGCGACGCCGCGUGAGGGAUGGAGGCCUUCGGGUUGUAAACCUCUUUCGCCAGUGAAGCAGGCCUGUCCAUUGUGGGUGGGUUGACGGUAGCUGGAUAAGAAGCGCCGGCUAACUACGUG